GUUAUGUGUGUUUUAGUGGAACGCUCUGGGAAGUGCGAACGUAGAGGGUGAUAUUCCCGUACACGAAAGGGCACACAUAAUGAUGACGAGUAGGGCGAGGCACGUGAAACCUUGUCUGAAUAUGGGGGGACCAUCCUCCAAGGCUAAAUACUCCUGACUGACCGAUAGUGAACCAGUACCGUGAGGGAAAGGCGAAAAGAACCCCUGUGAGGGGAGUGAAAUAGAUCCUGAAACCGCAUGCAUACAAGCAGUGGGAGCACCUUCGUGGUGUGACUGCGUACCUUUUGUAUAAUGGGUCAGCGACUUAUAUUCAGUAGCGAGGUUAACCGUAUAGGGGAGCCGUAGAGAAAUCGAGUCUUAAUAGGGCGUUUAGUUGCUGGGUAUAGACCCGAAACCAGGCGAUCUAUCCAUGAGCAGGUUGAAGGUUGGGUAACACUAACUGGAGGACCGAACCCACUGUCGUUGAAAAGCCAGGGGAUGACUUGUGGAUAGGGGUGAAAGGCUAAUCAAGCCUGGUGAUAGCUGGUUCUCCCCGAAAGCUAUUUAGGUAGCGCCUCGGACGAAUACCAUAGGGGGUAGAGCACUGUUUCGGCUAGGGGGUCAUCCCGACUUACCAAACCGAUGCAAACUCCGAAUACCUAUGAGUACUAUCCGGGAGACAGACUGCGGGUGCUAACGUCCGUAGUCAAGAGGAAAACAAUCCAGACCGCCAGCUAAGGCCCCAAAAUCAUAGUUAAGUGGGAAACGAUGUGGGAAGGCAUAGACAGCUAGGAGGUUGGCUUAGAAGCAGCCACCCUUUAAAGAAAGCGUAAUAGCUCACUAGUCGAGUCGGCCUGCGCGGAAGAUGUAACGGGGCUAAAACUAUGUGCCGAAGCUGCGGAUGUAUACUUUGUAUACGUGGUAGGGGAGCGUUCUGUAAGCCGAUGAAGGUGUGUUGAGAAGCAUGCUGGAGGUAUCAGAAGUGCGAAUGCUGACGUGAGUAACGACAAAACGGGUGAAAAACCCGUUCGCCGAAAGACCAAGGGUUCCAGUCCAACGUUAAUCGGGGCUGGGUGAGUCGACCCCUAAGGCGAGGCCGAAAGGCGUAGUCGAUGGGAAAAUGGUUAAUAUUCCAUUACUUCUGUGUAAUGCGAUGAGAGGACGGAGAAGGCUAAAUCAGCCUGGCGUUGGUUGUCCAGGUGAAAGGAUGUAGGCAUGUAUCUUAGGCAAAUCCGGGGUACUCUAUGCUGAGAUCUGAUAGCAAGCUGUACUUGUACAGCGAAGUGGUUGAUGCCAUGCUUCCAGGAAAAGUCUCUAAGCUUCAGUUACACAGGAAUCGUACCCGAAACCGACACAGGUGGUCAGGUCGAGUAGACCAAGGCGCUUGAGAGAACUCUGCUGAAGGAACUAGGCAAAAUGGUACCGUAACUUCGGGAGAAGGUACGCUGUUGUUGGUGAUGGAACUCGCUUCCUGAGCUGACGACAGCCGCAGAAACCAGGCCGCUGCAACUGUUUAUUAAAAACAUAGCACUCUGCAAACACGAAAGUGGACGUAUAGGGUGUGAUGCCUGCCCGGUGCUGGAAGGUUAAUUGAUGGGGUUAGCGUAAGCGAAGCUCUUGAUCGAAGCCCCAGUAAACGGCGGCCGUAACUAUAACGGUCCUAAGGUAGCGAAAUUCCUUGUCGGGUAAGUUCCGACCUGCACGAAUGGCAUAAUGAUGGCGGCGCUGUCUCCAGCAGAGGCUCAGUGAAAUCGAAAUCGCUGUGAAGAUGCAGUGUACCCGCGGCUAGACGGAAAGACCCCGUGAACCUUUACUGCAGCUUGACACUGAACUUUGACCUUACUUGUGUAGGAUAGGUGGGAGGCUUUGAAGCUGGAACGCUAGUUCCAGUGGAGCCGUCCUUGAAAUACCACCCUGGUAAUGUUGAGGUUCUAACUCUGUCCCGUGAUCCGGGACGAGGACCGUGUCUGGUGGGUAGUUUGACUGGGGCGGUCUCCUCCUAAAGAGUAACGGAGGAGUACGAAGGUGCGCUCAGCGUGGUCGGAAAUCACGCGUAGAGUAUAAAGGCAAAAGCGCGCUUAACUGCGAGACCCACAAGUCGAGCAGGUACGAAAGUAGGUCUUAGUGAUCCGGUGGUUCUGUAUGGAAGGGCCAUCGCUCAACGGAUAAAAGGUACUCUGGGGAUAACAGGCUGAUACCGCCCAAGAGUUCAUAUCGACGGCGGUGUUUGGCACCUCGAUGUCGGCUCAUCUCAUCCUGGGGCUGAAGCAGGUCCCAAGGGUAUGGCUGUUCGCCAUUUAAAGAGGUACGCGAGCUGGGUUUAGAACGUCGUGAGACAGUUCGGUCCCUAUCUACCGUGGGCGCUGGAAAUUUGAGAGGAUCUGCUCCUAGUACGAGAGGACCAGAGUGGACGAACCUCUGGUGUACCGGUUGUGACGCCAGUCGCAUCGCCGGGUAGCUAUGUUCGGAAGGGAUAACCGCUGAAAGCAUCUAAGCGGGAAGCCUACCUCAAGAUAAGAUUUCCCUAGGACUUUAUGUCCUCUAAAGAGCCGUUCGAGACUAGGACGUUGAUAGGUUGGAUGUGGAAGCAUAGUGAUAUGUGAAGCUGACCAAUACUAAUUGCUCGUGAGGCUUGACUA
rnacentral:rRNA from 1 species